GGGCCUAUAGCUCAGUUGGUUAGAGCGCCGGACUCAUAAUCCGUCGGUCGUAGGUUCAAGUCCUACUGGGCCACG
rnacentral:tRNA from 1 species